UGGAAUGCGUAGAUAUAUUGAGGAACACCGGAGGCUAAGGCGAGUAUCUAGGACAUAAUUGACGCUGAGGCUUGAAAGCGUGGGGAGCAAAUGGGAUUAGAUACCCCAGUAGUCCACGCCGUAAACGAUGGGUAUUAGGUAUUUGGUCUAGGACUGAGUGCUGUAGCUAACUGCGUUAAAUACCCCGCCUGGGUAGUAUAUAUGCAA
rnacentral:rRNA from 1 species